rfam:Solanum tuberosum cultivar DM 1-3 516 R44 scf00514_11, whole genome shotgun sequence.
UAAAGAAAAAUGUGUCAAUAUAGCUAAAGACGACUGCCUAGUAUACUAUUAAGUACUCCAUAAAAUAUUGGAGGAAAAUAGUAGGUACAUUAGGCAAGUCAUCCUUGGCUAAUUAACAAAGGUUUUUCUUU